GAGAGGAGAAGGUUAGAGGUACUAGUAAAAUCAAAUUGCGCUGCCUCGUCAAGGCGGAGUUGUGGGCUGAAUCCCCACGUAUCUU
rnacentral:tRNA from 1 species